UCGCAAGAGAUCCUGUAGUCUUCUUGAGGACAUCGUGUCGACGUCUAUGAUCUGAGAAUUCUUUGUCCAAUCAGAUUAAGAAAAAAAAAAAAAAAGAAGAAAAAGUGAAUUGAUUUGAAGUAAAUUCGAAUUAAAAAGACAGCCGUGGUAAUAUUUUCCAGUAAUCGAGAAGACUUAUGUGUCGAUGAGGUGCAAGAUUUUGGAUUGUCAAGGAAAUUCUCCAACAUUCUUACCCAGUGUUAGGCUCGCUAAAAAUCUUCGAACCCGCAAAGGAAGUCGAUGUGGUAACGCUGGAAAUCGUCUAGAAUUGUUAGUUCUGGUUCAUUUGCAUCACGUACCAUAAAUUAAAGAAAAAGAUCAGUGGAUCUGAUAGUGUCAGAAAUUAAAGUGGAAGUGCUGCAUAUCGGUUUUAAUUGGCUUAAAAUCGAUAGAAACUAGUGGAGGGAAGGUAGAACAAUUUUCAUUUCGAAAGGAAAGCGAAAAAAGAGUCAAAAAAUGGUUCACACCGAUAUUCUCAUCAAAGGACCUUACGAAGAUACGAG